rnacentral:rRNA from 1 species
AAUCAACGCUGGCGGCGUGCCUAACACAUGCAAGUCGAACGCGAAAGGUUCCUUCGGGGACCCGGUAGAGUGGCGGACGGGUGAGUAACACGUGGGUAAUCUGCCUUUGGGUGGGGAAUAACCCUUCGAAAGGGGGCGUAAUACCGCAUAACGCAGCGGCACCGAAUGGUGACAGUUGUUAAAGUGGGGAGUCNCAAGACCUCACGCCUGAAGAGGAGCCCGCGCCCGAUUAGCUAGUUGGUGCGGUAANGGCGUACCAAGGCGACGAUCGGUAGCCGGCCUGAGAGGGCGGACGGCCACACUGGCACUGGAGAGACGGGCCAGACUCCUACGGGAGGCAGCAGUGGGGAAUUUUGGCAAUGGGCGCAAGCCUGACCCAGCAACGCCGCGUGAAGGACGAAA